rnacentral:rRNA from 1 species
UACGUAGGGUGCGAGCGUUAAUCGGAAUUACUGGGCGUAAAGCGCGUGUAGGCUGACCGGAAAGUCGGGCGUGAAAUCCCUGGGCUCAACCCAGGAACUGCACUCGAAACUCCCGGUCUUGAGUGGUGGAGAGGGAAGUGGAAUUCCUGGUGUAGAGGUGAAAUUCGUAGAUAUCAGGAGGAACACCGGUGACGAAGGCGGCGUCCUGGACCAACACUGACACUGAGGAGCGAAAGCCAGGGGAGCAAACGGG